AGUGAACGCUGGCGGCAGGCCUAACACAUGCAAGUCGAGCGGCAGCACAGUGGCAACCCUCGCUGCGAGCGGCGGAGGGGUGGGGGAUUCGUGAGAAUCUCCCUAUCUGCUUUGGCUAACGGGAGAACGCUUACACUCAUACGGCAUACGUCCUAAGGGACUACGGGUGGGAGCACGAGGCCUUCCGCACUUACAUGAGCCGACGACCGAUUAGCUAGUUGGUGGGGUAAAGGCCCACCAAGGCGACGAUCGGUAGCUGGUCUGAGAGGAUGAUCAGCCACACUGGAACUGAGACACGGUCCAGACUCCUACGGGAGGCAGCAGUGGGGAAUAUUGGACAAUGGGCGCAAGCCUGAUCCAGCCAUGCCGCGUGUGUGAAGAAGGCCUUCGGGUUGUAAAGCACUUUUGUUGGGAAAGAAAAGCAGGAAGCUAAUACCUUCGGGUGCUGACGGUACCGGAAGAAUAAGCACCGGCUAACUUCGUG
rnacentral:rRNA from 1 species